CAGCAGCCGCGGGAAUACGAAGGGGACUAGCGUUGCUCGGAAUCACUGGGCGUAAAGGGUGCGUAGGCGGGUUUUUAAGUCAGAGGUGAAAUCCUGGAGCUCAACUCCAGAACUGCCUUUGAUACUGAAAGUCUUGAGUAUGGGAGAGGUGAGUGGAACUGCGAGUUUAGAGGUGAAAUUCGUAGAUAUUCGCAAGAACACCAGUGGCGAAGGCGGCUCACUGGCCCAUAACUGACGCUGAGGCACGAAAGCGUGGGGAGCAAACAGGAUUAGAUACCCCUGUAGUCCCUGUCUCUUAUAC
rnacentral:rRNA from 1 species